rnacentral:rRNA from 1 species
CCUACGGGGGGCAGCAGUGAGGAAUAUUGGUCAAUGGGCGCAAGCCUGAACCAGCCAUCCCGCGUGCAGGAAGACGGCGCUAUGCGUUGUAAACUGCUUUUCCAGGGGGAGAAACUUCCGUACGUGUACGGAAUUGACGGUACCCUGGGAAUAAGCAUCGGCUAACUCCGUGCCAGCAGCCGCGGUAAUACGGAGGAUGCAAGCGUUAUCCGGAUUCAUUGGGUUUAAAGGGUGCGUAGGCGGACUAUUAAGUCAGUGGUGAAAUCCUGCAGCUUAACUGCAGAACUGCCAUUGAUACUGAUGGUCUUGAGUUUGGUUAAGGUAGGCGGAAUGUGUAAUGUAGCGGUGAAAUGCUUAGAUAUUACACAGAACACCAAUUGCGUAGGCAGCUUACUGAGCCGACACUGACGCUGAGGCACGAAAGCGUGGGGAUCGAACAGGAUUAGAUACCCCAGUAGUC